GACGGUAACCAACCCCAUGGGUGGGUAUAGCCGCGGGAAACUGCGGGUAAUCCCCAGCGAAGCAAAGCGACCGGCAUCGGUUGUUUGCCAAAGCUCCGGCGCCGUGGGACGGGCCGUCGUGGUAUUAGGUAGUUGGGGGGGUAACGGCCCACCAAGCCUACGAUGCCUACCGGGCGUGCGAGCGUGGCCCGGCACACUGGGACUGAGACACUGCCCAGACUCCUACGGGAGGCUGCAGUCGAGAAUCUUCGGCAAUGGGCGCAAGCCUGACCGAGCGACGCCGCGUGGAGGACGAAGGCCUUCGGGUUGUAAACUCCUGUCGAGGGGAAAGAAGGCCCGCAAGGGCUUGACUGAUCCCUGGAGGAAGCACGGGCUAAGUUCGUGCCAGCAGCCGCGGUAAGACGAACCGUGCGAACGUUAUUCGGAAUCACUGGGCUUAAAGCGCGUGUAGGCGGGAGGGCACGUCCGUCGCUGAAAUCCCCCGGCUCAACCGGGGAAGUGGCGCGGAUACGACCUUCCUG
rnacentral:rRNA from 1 species